GGGCCGGUAGCUCAGCCCGGUUAGAGCGCACGCCUGAUAAGCGUGAGGUCGGUGGUUCGAGUCCACCUCGGCCCA
rnacentral:tRNA from 1 species